rnacentral:rRNA from 1 species
CAGUCGCCGCGGGAAUACGUAGGGUGCGAGCGUUAAUCGGAAUUACUGGGCGUAAAGCGUGCGCAGGCGGUUAUAUAAGACAGAUGUGAAAUCCCCGGGCUCAACCUGGGACCUGCAUUUGUGACUGUAUAGCUAGAGUACGGUAGAAGGGGAUGGAAUUCUGCGUGUAGCAGUGAAAUGCGUAGAUAUGCGGAGGAACACCGAUGGCGAAGGCAAUCCCCUGGACCUGUACUGACGCUCAUGCACGAAAGCGUGGGGAGCAAACAGGAUUAGAUACCCGGGUAGUCCCUGUCUCUUAUAC